AUUGAACGCUGGCGGCAGGCCUAACACAUGCAAGUCGAACGCGUGGCGGACGGGUGAGUAAUGUCUGGGAAACUGCCUGCUGGAGGGGGAUAACUACUGGACACGGUAGCUAAUACCGCAUACCAUCAGAUGUGCCCAGAUGGGAUUAGCUAGUUGGUGGGGUAACGGCGCACCAAGGCGACGAUCCCUAGCUGGUCUGAGAGGUUGACCGGCCACCCUGGAACUGAGACACGGUCCAGACUCCUACGGUAGGCAGCAGUGGGGAAUAUUGCACACUGGGCGCAAGCCUGAUGCAGCCAUGCCGCGUGUAUGAAGAAGGCCUUCGGGUUGUAAAGUACUUUCAGCGGGGAGGCGUUACCCGCAGAAGAAGCACCGGCUAAAUCCGUGCCAGCCGCCGCGGUAAUUC
rnacentral:rRNA from 1 species